AUUGAACGCUGGCGGCAUGCUUUACACAUGCAAGUCGAACGGUAACAGGCCUUCGGGUGCUGACGAGUGGCGAACGGGUGAGUAAUGCAUCGGAACGUGCCCAGAGGUGGGGGAUAACGCAGCGAAAGCUGUGCUAAUACCGCAUAUUAUCUGAGGAUGAAAGCGGGGGACGUAAGCAGCAAUGUUUGGCCUCGCGCCUUUGGAGCGGCCGAUGUCAGAUUAGGUAGUUGGUGGGGUAAAGGGCCUACCAAGCCGACGAUCUGUAGCUGGUCUGAGAGGACGACCAGCCACACUGGGACUGAGACACGGCCCAGACUCCUACGGGAGGCAGCAGUGGGGAAUUUUGGACAAUGGGCGCAAGCCUGAUCCAGCAAUGCCGCGUGCAGGAAGAAGCAUCUAUGGUGUGUAAAACUGCUUUUGUACGGGAAGAAACACUCCUUCGUGAAGGAGCUUGACGGUACCGUAAGAAUAA
rnacentral:rRNA from 1 species